rnacentral:misc_RNA from 1 species
GAUGAAGAAGCAGCGAAAUGCGAUAAGUAAUGUGAAUUGCAGAAUUCAGUGAAUCAUCGAAUCUUUGAACGCACAUUGCGCCCGCCAGUAUUCUGGCGGGCAUGCCUGUUCGAGCGUCAUUUCAACCCUCAAGCCCCCGGGCUUGGUGUUGGGGAUCGGCGUGCCCUCGCGGCGCGCCGUCCCCUAAAUCUAGUGGCGGUCUCGCUGUAGCUUCCUCUGCGUAGUAGCAACACUCGCACUGGAUCGCAGCGCGGCCACGCCGUUAAACCCCCCACUUCUGAAAGUUUGACCUCGGAUCAGGUAGGAAUACCCGCUGAACUUAAGCAUAUCAAUAAGCGGAGGA